CCAAAGUGCAUUGGGUAAUUCGGUGAUCCCUGGUUAAGUCAGUGUUAGCACCAGGGCACAUGAUGAACCUCACACAGGCCAGUGAAACCAAGGGAAUUUCUAAUGCCCAUGUGGAACAUUAAGGUUUCAAGCUGAGUAUAGUAGGGGAAACAGCAGAAAGACACCGGUACAACACUGAAAGGGAAAAGAUCUCACUGUCCUGGGAAUUAGCAUUCUCCUCUGAUGCAACCCAAAGACCUAGCUGGAUUAUCUAAAACCAACAGAGUACUUGGGGAAGGCCAUCCGUACAAGAACAAACAAAACAAUCAGACAUCAUUUCUACUGAAGCACUGUUCUUAUCUCCUCUCUGAGGGAAAUCAAGGAUUUCCUAGGAGCACAUAAAGAAAAUCAGCUGAAACAA